AUUAAAACAAAAUAGGUAGUAUUAAAAUUUCUAGAAACCUAUAUAACCUGGCGGCAUUUCAUCUUAUUAGAGGAACAUGUUAUUUAAUCGAUAAUACACGAUUAAUUUCACUUAUUUUAAAAUUUUAUAUACCUCCGUCCACAAAUUAAUUUUAAUAUAUUUUUUUAGAAAAAAUCUAAAAGGGUAGGUAAAGGUGUAAACAAAAAAUAAGACUUCAAUGUGUUACAUUAAAAAAAAUUUAAGGAUUACUUUUCUAAACUUUUAUAAAAAAGGAUUUAAAAGUAUUAUUAUUAUAAUAUUAUAAUUUGAAUAAGAAAAUAAAUGUGU
rnacentral:rRNA from 1 species